CCUCCUUUCUUCCGCCGUGCGGCCUCUUGGUCCCUGGUCGGGCGCCUGCCCCAGCCAAGCCGCGUGAGGGAUGAAGGUACAGAGUAUCGUAAACCUCUUUUGUCAGGGAACAAAGGCGGGGACGCGUCACCGGAUGAGUGUACCUGAAGAAAAAGCAUCGGCUAACUCCGUGCCAGAAGCCGAGGUAAUACGGGGGAUGCGAGCGUUAUCCGGAUUUAUUGGGUUUAAAGGGUGCGCAGGCGGUCUGUUAAGUCAGCGGUCAAAGCCCGGGGCUCAACCCCGGCCCGCAGUUGAAACUGGCAGUCUCGAGUUGGAGAGAAGUAUGCGGAAUGCGCGGUGUAGCGGUGAAAUGCAUAGAUAUCGCGCAGAACUCCGAUUGCGAAGGCAGCAUGCCGGCUCCACACUGACGCUGAGGCACGAAAGCGUGGGUAUCGAACAGGAUUAGAUACCCCGGUAGUC
rnacentral:rRNA from 1 species